rnacentral:rRNA from 1 species
AUUGAACGCUGGCGGCAGGCCUAACACAUGCAAGUCGAACGAGUGGCGGACGGGUGAGUAAUGUCUGGGAAACUGCCUGAUGGAGGGGGAUAACUACUGGAAACGGUAGCUAAUACCGCAUACCAGCGGAUGGUCCCAGGUGGGAUUAGCUAGUAGGUGGGGUAAAGGCUCACCUAGGCGCCGAGCCCUAGCUGGUCUGAGAGGAUGAACAGCCACACUGGAACUGAGACACGGUCCAGACUCCUACGUGAGGCAGCAGUGGGGAAUAUUGCACAAUGGGCGCAAGCCUGAUGCAGCCAUGCCGCGUGUAUGAAGAAGGCCUUCGGGUUGGAAAGUAGUUUCAGCGGGUAGGCGUUACCCGCAGAAGAAGCACCGGCUAACUCCGUGCCAGCAGCCGCGGUAAUUC